AAAACUAUACUCUUGGGGAUCAUUUCUAUAGUUGUUUUCUAGAGAAAUGGGUUCUUAAGUGUCUGGUCUCACAAACCAUGAGGAUGAUUGAGAGUAUUUUCUUCUGAGCAGGAAGUUGGUCUGGAGUGUUGUUUCUUGCAGUUAUUCUUUACCAUUGAUGAUUGUUCUUACUCUUAUGGGGAGUGAGAGGAAGAGAAUGCAUUCUGAGUGGU